UUGAGCGUGCGUGUGGGCACAUUUGGGCACCCCUGCAGGGUUACAAUCUUAUCGAUAAGCCGCGUCCGCGGUUAUGGACGACUUGGAGCUGUAUGACUCGACCAUAGACAACUUACACUUGUUGUUUCAAUACUAAUAACUUACAUAGUAAGAUAGAACAACCUAAAUAAUAACUGGUUAAAACUUGACAACCGUGUGAGUGCCUUUGUAAGUACCUCCUUGCGAGGGGGGAACACAUCGGCUGUGUUAUGUUUGCAGAGUAUAGAACUGUUAGUUUAUGCGCUCUCUCAUCUUCUCUGAUAGAUGACUGUUGUAGAGUGUCUCUAUAGGUUUUUAGUGCUUGCGCGCUGCCGCUUAACCCCACCAUAUUGCCUAUGACGUUCCUCUUGCGUCCUCUAAGUCCCCUGCGUGCCUCAAGUACAAAGGACGACUGGUUGACGAAUGCUUAUAUGUCUUGAAGUCUUGUUAAGUACGAACCCGUACUUAUUGCUGCUUCUACGGGAUAUAACCGGGCAGGUAUGAAGAUAUGUUCGAUGAAGACGACGUUAGCAAGGUUACCCUUCCGGCUUGGCCUGGGCAGGGUUAUGGACGCCACUGGUUAUCUUCAGGACUCUUAGUCCAAUUUGUAUCUUGUCCGUACUCGGACGUAUUUGAUCUUCUGUAUGAUUUGGAUCUUUGUAUUGUAUAUUUGUAUCUUGACUCGUUGGAGUUGUUGUUGUAAUAUAUGUAUCUUGUGGGCUCUAUUGUAAUCCUGUUGUAAUGUUA